rnacentral:rRNA from 1 species
CCUACGGGAGGCAGCAGUGGGGAAUAUUGGGCAAUGGGCGAAAGCCUGACCCAGCAACGCCGCGUGAAGGAAGAAGGUCUUCGGAUUGUAAACUUCUUUUAUGAGGGACGAAGGAAGUGACGGUACCUCAUGAAUAAGCCACGGCUAACUACGUGCCAGCAGCCGCGGUAAUACGUAGGUGGCAAGCGUUGUCCGGAUUUACUGGGUGUAAAGGGCGCGUAGGCGGGAUGGCAAGUCAGAUGUGAAAUCCAUGGGCUCAACCCAUGAACUGCAUUUGAAACUGUCGUUCUUGAGUAUCGGAGAGGCAAGCGGAAUUCCUAGUGUAGCGGUGAAAUGCGUAGAUAUUAGGAGGAACACCAGUGGCGAAGGCGGCUUGCUGGACGACAACUGACGCUGAGGCGCGAAAGCGUGGGGAGCAAACAGG